rnacentral:rRNA from 1 species
GACGAACGCUGUUUGCGUGCUUAACACAUGCAAGUCGAACGGAAAGGCCCUGCUUUUGUGGGGUGCUCGAGUGGCGAACGGGUGAGUAACACGUGAGUAACCUGCCCUUGACUUUGGGAUAACUUCAGGAAACUGGGGCUAAUACCGGAUAGGAGCUCCUGCUGCAUGGUGGGGGUUGGAAAGUUUCGGCGGUUGGGGAUGGACUCGCGGCUUAUCAGCUUGUUGGUGGGGUAGUGGCUUACCAAGGCUUUGACGGGUAGCCGGCCUGAGAGGGUGACCGGCCACAUUGGGACUGAGAUACGGCCCGGACUCCUACGGGAGGCAGCAGUGGGGAAUAUUGCACAAUGGGCGGAAGCCUGAUGCAGCAACGCCGCGUGCGGGAUGACGGCCUUCGGGUUGUAAACCGCUUUCGCCUGUGACGAAGCGUGAGUGACGGUAAUGGGUAAAGAAGCACCGGCUAACUACGUGCCAGCAGCCGCGGUGAUACGUAGGGUGCGAGCGUUGUCCGGAUUUAUUGGGCGUAAAGGGCUCGUAGGUGGUUGAUCGCGUCGGAAGUGUAAUCUUGGGGCUUAACCCUGAGCGUGCUUUCGAUACGGGUUGACUUGAGGAAGGUAGGGGAGAAUGGAAUUCCUGGUGGAGCGGUGGAAUGCGCAGAUAUCAGGAGGAACACCAGUGGCGAAGGCGGUUCUCUGGGCCUUUCCUGACGCUGAGGAGCGAAAGCGUGGGGAGCGAACAGGCUUAGAUACCCUGGUAGUCCACGCUGUAAACGGUGGGUACUAGGUGUGGGGUCCAUUCCACGGGUUCCGUGCCGUAGCUAACGCUUUAAGUACCCCGCCUGGGGAGUACGGCCGCAAGGCUAAAACUCAAAGGAAUUGACGGGGCCCCGCACAAGCGGCGGAGCAUGCGGAUUAAUUCGAUGCAACGCGUAGAACCUUACCUGGGUUUGACAUGGAUCGGGAGUGCUCAGAGAUGGGUGUGCCUCUUUUGGGGUCGGUUCACAGGUGGUGCAUGGCUGUCGUCGGCUCGUGUCGUGAGAUGUUGGGUUAAGUCCCGCAACGAGCGCAACCCUUGUUCACUGUUGCCAGCACGUUAUGGUGGGGACUCAGUGGAGACCGCCGGGGUCAACUCGGAGGAAGGUGGGGAUGACGUCAAGUCAUCAUGCCCCUUAUGUCCAGGGCUUCACGCAUGCUACAAUGGCUGGUACAGAGAGUGGCGAGCCUGUGAGGGUGAGCGAAUCUCGGAAAGCCGGUCUCAGUUCGGAUUGGGGUCUGCAACUCGACCUCAUGAAGUCGGAGUCGCUAGUAAUCGCAGAUCAGCAACGCUGCGGUGAAUACGUUCCCGGG